AGAGCUCAAAGUUGGAAUCCGGCUGCCCUAGGUAGUUGGAAUUGUAAACUGGAGAGGUGUUUUCCAGGCGAGCCAAGCAAAUAAGUCCUUUGGAACAGGGCAUCAUAGAGGGUGAGAAUCCCGUCUUUGGCUUGAGCAUUGCCUUUUGCGAUACACUUUCAAAGAGUCAGGUUGUUUGGGAAUGCAGCCUAAAUUGGGUGGUAAAUCUCACCUAAAGCUAAAUAUUGGCGAGAGACCGAUAGCGAACAAGUACCGUGAGGGAAAGAUGAAAAGAACUUUGAAAAGAGAGUUAAACAGUAUGUGAAAUUGUUGAAAGGGAACCGUUUGGAGCCAGACCGGCUGUUCUAUAAUCAAUCUCUGCUUCGGUAGGGAUGCACUUGUAGGGCUUUAGCCUGCCAACAGCAAUUUUCUUUGGUGGAAAAAACUAGAAGGAAUGUGGCCCCUCGGGGUGUUAUAGCCUCUUAGAAAAUACACUGAAGGGGAUUGAGGACUGCAGCAAAUGCUUUUGGCGAAAUAACUGGGUGCUUGUGUUAAGGAAGUAUAGAAUUUCUGCUUCGGGUGGUGCUAUGCUCUAAGAUGCAACUCGCUUAGACUAUUUUCUAUUUGCUU
rnacentral:rRNA from 1 species